rnacentral:misc_RNA from 1 species
AACGCACAUUGCGCCCGCCAGUAUUCUGGCGGGCAUGCCUGUCCGAGCGUCAUUUCAACCCUCGAGCCCUCCCCCAGCGGGGGGGCCCGGCGUUGGGGAUCGGCCCCGCCACGCGCGGCGGCCGGCCCCGAAAUCCAGUGGCGGUCACGCCGCGGCUUCCUCUGCGUAGUAGCAACACCUCGCACCGGGACGCGGCGCGCCCACGCCGUAAACAAGACGAAUGUCAUCGCAAGGUUGACCUCGGAUCAGGUAGGAAUACCCGCUGAACUUAA